GCCAGCCCGCUCAGCAACUUAAAGGAAUUGACGGGGGCCCGCACAAGCGGUGGAGUAUGUGGUUUAAUUCGAUGCAACGCGAAGAACCUUACCUGGUCUUGACAUCCCGGAGACCCUUAGGAAACUAGGGGGUGCUUCCAUCUGGAAGAAUCUGGAGACAGGUGCUGCAUGGCUGUCGUCAGCUCGUGUCGUGAGAUGUUGGGUUAAGUCCCGCAACGAGCGCAACCCUUGCCUUUAGUUGCCAGCAGUUCGGCUGGGCACUCUAAAGGGACUGCCGGUGUUAAACCGGAGGAAGGUGGGGAUGACGUCAAGUCCUCAUGGCCUUUAUGACCAGGGCUACACACGUACUACAAUGGCCGAUACAAAGGGCAGCGACACUGCGAGGUGAAGCCAAUCCCGUAAAAUCGGUCUCAGUCCGGAUUGGAGUCUGCAACUCGACUCCAUGAAGUUGGAAUCGCUAGUAAUCGUGAAUCAGAAUGUCACGGUGAAUACGUUCCCGGGCCUU
rnacentral:rRNA from 1 species